rnacentral:rRNA from 1 species
UUGYUGGGGUGGAUGAGUGGCGAACGGGUGASUAACACGUGAGUAACCUUCCCUUGACUCUGGGAUAAGCCCGGGAAACUGGGUCUAAUACCGGAUACGACCUCCUGUYKCAKGGYGGGGGGUGGAAAGAUUUAUCGGUCUUGGAUGGACUCKCGGCCUAUCAKCUUGUUGGWGAGGUAAUGSCUCACCAAGGCGACRACGGGUAGCCGGCCUGRGAGGGURACCGGCCACMCUGGKACUKAGACACSGCCCMSACUCYUACSGGAGGYRRCMGYGGGRAAUWUUGCWCAAUGGGCGCAAGCCUGAUSCRGCRACRCCGCRUGAGGGAUGACSGCCUUCGGGUUGUAAACCUCUUUYAGUAGGGAAGAAGCCUUCGGGUGACGGUACCUGCAGAAGAAGCGCCGGCUAACUACGUGCCAGCAGCCGCGGUAAUACGUAGGGCGCGAGCGUUAUCCGGAAUUAUUGGGCGUAAAGAGCUCGUAGGCGGUUUGUCGCGUCUGCCGUGAAAGUCCGGGGCUUAACCCCGGAUCUGCGGUGGGUACGGGCAGACUAGAGUGCAGUAGGGGAGACCGGAAUUCCUGGUGUAGCGGUGAAAUGCGCAGAUAUCAGGAGGAACACCGAUGGCGAAGGCAGGUCUCUGGGCUGUUACUGACGCUGAGGAGCGAAAGCAUGGGGAGCGAACAGGAUUAGAUACCCUGGUAGUCCAUGCCGUAAACGUUGGGCACUAGGUGUGGGGGACAUUCCACGUUUUCCGCGCCGCAGCUAACGCAUUAAGUGCCCCGCCUGGGGAGUACGGCCGCAAGGCUAAAACUCAAAGGAAUUGACGGGGGCCCGCACAAGCGGCGGAGCAUGCGGAUUAAUUCGAUGCAACGCGAAGAACCUUACCAAGGCUUGACAUGUUCUCGAUCGCCACAGAGAUGUGGUUUCCCCUUUGGGGCGGGUUCACAGGUGGUGCAUGGUUGUCGUCAGCUCGUGUCGUGAGAUGUUGGGUUAAGUCCCGCAACGAGCGCAACCCUCGUUCCAUGUUGCCAGCGGGUUAUGCCGGGGACUCAUGGGAGACUGCCGGGGUCAACUCGGAGGAAGGUGGGGACGACGUCAAAUCAUCAUGCCCCUUAUGUCUUGGGCUUCACGCAUGCUACAAUGGCCGGUACAAUGGGUUGCGAUACUGUGAGGUGGAGCUAAUCCCAAAAAGCCGGUCUCAGUUCGGAUUGGGGUCUGCAACUCGACCCCAUGAAGUCGGAGUCGCUAGUAAUCGCAGAUCAGCAACGCUGCGGUGAAUACGUUCCCGGGCCUUGUACACACCGCCCGUCAAGUCACGAAAGUCGGUAACACCCGAAGC